CUGGCCAGGGAGAGCCUCAUCAACGCCGACGGCAUCAUCGAGGCGGCGUUCUGGCCGGGGAAGUACUCCGUCGAGCUCAGCUCCGCCGCCUACGCCACGUGGCAGUUCGACACGGAGGCGCUGCCCAACGACCUCGUCCGGCGGGGGCUCGCCGUGCGAAAGGACGACGGCGAGCUGGAGCUCGUCAUCAAGGACUACCCCUACGCCAACGACGGGCUCAUGGUCUGGAACUCCAUCAAGCAGUGGGCGGCGGACUAUGUGAAGAUAUACUACAAGUCGGACGAGGCCGUCGCCGGCGACGCCGAGCUGCAGGCGUUCUGGGAGGAGGUGCGCACGGUGGGGCACGGCGACAAGAAGGACGAGCCGUGGUGGCCCGUGCUCGACGGCCGGGACGCCCUCGUCGAGACGCUCACCACCAUCAUGUGGGUCACGUCGGGGCACCACUCGGCGGUGAACUUCGGGCAGUACCACUACGGCGGCUACUUCCCCAACCGCCCCACCGUGAUCCGGAAGAACAUGCCGGUGGAGGAGGGCCGGGACGACGAGAUGAAGAGGUUCCUGGACCAGCCGGAGGGGACGCUGCUGGACAUGCUCCCAACGCAGAUGCAGGCCAUCACGGUGAUGACCACGCUGGACAUCCUCUCCUCGCACUCGCCCGACGAGGAGUACAUGGGCGACCACGCCGAGCCGGC
rnacentral:lncRNA from 1 species